GACGAACGCUGGCGGCGUGCUUAACACAUGCCAGUCGAACGGAAAGGCCCUGCUUGCAGGGUACUCGAGUGGCGAACGGGUGAGUAACACGUGGGUGAUCUGCCCUGCACUUCGGGAUAAGCCUGGGAAACUGGGUCUAAUACCGGAUAGGAGCCAUUUUUAGUGUGAUGGUUGGAAAGUUUUUUCGGUGUAGGAUGAGCUCGCGGCCUAUCAGCUUGUUGGUGGGGUAAUGGCCUACCAAGGCGGCGACGGGUAGCCGGCCUGAGAGGGUGGACGGCCACAUUGGGACUGAGAUACGGCCCAGACUCCUACGGGAGGCAGCAGUGGGGAAUAUUGCACAAUGGGCGCAAGCCUGAUGCAGCGACGCCGCGGGGGGGAUGACGGCCUUCGGGUUGUAAACUCCUUUCGCUAGGGACGAAGCUUUUUGUGACGGUACCUAGAUAAGAAGCACCGGCUAACUACGUG
rnacentral:rRNA from 1 species